rnacentral:misc_RNA from 1 species
GAUGAAGAACGUAGCGAAAUGCGAUAAGUAAUGUGAAUUGCAGAAUUCAGUGAAUCAUCGAAUCUUUGAACGCACAUUGCGCCCGCCAGUAUUCUGGCGGGCAUGCCUGUUCGAGCGUCAUUUCAACCAUCAAGCCCCCGGCUAGUGUUGGGGACCUGCGGCUGCCGCAGGCCCUGAAAACCAGUGGCGGGCUCGCUAGUCACUCCGAGCGUAGUAAUACAUCUCGCUCAGGGCGUGCUGCGGGUUCCGGCCGUUAAAAAGCCUUAUUUACCCAAGGUUGACCUCGGAUCAGGUAGGAAGACCCGCUGAACUUAAGCAUAUCAAUAGCGGAGGA